UGGUAGUNCACGCCGUAAACGAUGAGUGCUAGGUGUUAGGCCCUUUCCGGGGCUUAGUGCCGGAGCUAACGCAAUAAGCACCCCGCCUGGGGAGUACGACCGCAAGGUUGAAACUCAAAGGAAUUGACGGGGGCCCGCACAAGCGGUGGAGCAUGUGGUUUAAUUCGAAGCAACGCGAAGAACCUUACCAGGUCUUGACAUCCCGAUGCUAUUCUUAGAGAUAGGAAGUUACUUCGGUACAUCGGAGACAGGUGGUGCAUGGUUGUCGUCAGCUCGUGUCGUGAGAUGUUGGGUUAAGUCCCGCAACGAGCGCAACCCUUAUUGUUAGUUGCCAUCAUUAAGUUGGGCACUCUAGCGAGACUGCCGGUAAUAAACCGGAGGAAGGUGGGGAUGACGUCAAAUCAUCAUGCCCCUUAUGACCUGGGCUACACACGUGCUACAAUGGUCGGUACAACGAGUUGCGAGCCGGUGACGGCAAGCUAAUCUCUGAAAGCCGAUCUCAGUUCGGAUUGGAGGCUGCAACUCGCCUCCAUGAAGUCGGAAUCGCUAGUAAUCGCGGAUCAGCACGCCGCGGUGAAUACGUUCCCGGGCCUUGUNC
rnacentral:rRNA from 1 species